rnacentral:rRNA from 11 species
GGGGUGAAGUUGGUGAUCUAGUACUGUCGAGAAAAGCCUCUAGCGAUGUGGAUGUAUGGCCCGUACCCUAAACCGACACAGGUGGUCAGGUUGAAAAUACUAAGGCGUUCGGGUGAACUGUGGUUAAGGAACUCGGCAAAAUGCCCCCGUAACUUCGGGAGAAGGGGGGCCCUAGCGUUGAAGCCACUUGCUGGCUAGGCGCGACGGCCGCAGAGACCAGGGAGAAGCGACUGUUUACUAAAAACACAGGUCCAUGCGAAGUCGCAAGACGAUGUAUAUGGACUGACGCCUGCCCGGUGCUGGAAGGUUAAGAGGAACGGUUAGCCGCAAGGCGAAGCUGAGAAUUUAAGCCCCAGUAAACGGCGGUGGUAACUAUAACCAUCCUAAGGUAGCGAAAUUCCUUGUCGGGUAAGUUCCGACCU